CGGCGAGUGAAGCGGCAAUAGCUCAAAUUUGAAAGCUGGCGUCUUCGACGUCCGCGUUGUAAUUUGUAGAGGAUGUUUCGGCGAGGGCUCCUGCCUAAGUUCCCUGGAAUGGGACGUCACAGAGGGUGAGAAUCCCGUAUGUGGCGGGCGGCCUUAGCCAUGUGAAACUCCUUCGACGAGUCGAGUUGUUUGGGAAUGCAGCUCUAAAUGGGAGGUAAAUUUCUUCUAAAGCUAAAUACCGGCCAGAGACCGAUAGCGCACAAGUAGAGUGAUCGAAAGAUGAAAAGCACUUUGGAAAGAGAGUUAAAAAGUACGUGAAAUUGUUGAAAGGGAAGCGCUUGCAACCAGACUCGUUCGCAGUUGCUCAGCCCGCCUCUUGGUGGGUGUACUCUUCUGCGGUCGGGCCAGCAUCAGUUCGGGCGGUCGGAUAAAGGUGUCGGGAAUGUAGCACCCUUCGGGGUGUGUUAUAGCCCGGCGCGGAAUGCGGCCAGCCUGGACUGAGGAUCUCGCUUCGGCAAGGAUGCUGGCGUAAUGGUUGUAAGCGGCCCGUCUUGAAACACGGACCAAGGAGUCUAACAUCUAUGCGAGUGUUUGGGUGUCAAACCCAUGCGCGUAAUGAAAGUGAACGGAGGUGGGAACCCGCAAGGGUGCACCAUCGACCGAUCCUGAUGUCUUCGGAUGGAUUUGAGUAAGAGCAUAGCUGUUGGGACCCGAAAGAUGGUGAACUAUGCCUGAAUAGGGUGAAGCCAGAGGAAACUCUG
rnacentral:rRNA from 1 species